UUAUCUAGGUUUGGCGCUAAAUAUAUAGCGCAAGUGCGAGCCAAACGGACGGCUUAACAUCGAGCCAGGUGGCAGACAUUUUCCUCGGAGAACGACGGAUCGCUCAGCCCAGGGAGAAACGAAACGGCGGCUCGAAACUCCCGUAGCGAGGAGCUGCAUUUAGCUGAUUACUAAUUAAUAACCUUUGAAUUAGGCCUCUGAAUGGCAGAAAAGGGUUGCAAGCAGGCAUAGAUACGUCCCAAUUAGGAAUCGCGGCAGCACACAAUUUCUUUUCCAUUUCGGCGGACUCUUAUUUUUGGUUAAUUACUCUUAGAGAGCCAUCGAUGACGUAGAAAUCUCCACGUUCCAUUUUGUCGCCAUGUUCCCCUUGCGCACUUAAAGAAGGGAACGAGAAGAGGAGGAACGAAAAGGAGAGGGGAGAAUAAACAAGUCCAGCAGUUGCAAUCGCGGUUUCUUGUUCGGCGGGCGAGCAAAAGUUUUGUCGCGCGGUCUGGCCGUAAUUUGGUGAAUCCGACCAGAGGAAAAUCCGCUGAUCGACGGCGCGGGAAAAACCCCCUUAGACUCACGAAACCAGUGGCAGAUUGUGUUUGCCAUGACCGCUGUUGUUUUUUUCAUUGGCAACCUGGUGUACCUAAUUUGGGGCACCACUGAUCAGCAGUCUUGGGAUGCGGAAGACUAUCUGAAGACGAAGGACCCGGAAAACGAACCGAAUGCCCAUCAAAUGGAUUUUAAGCCAAGGCCGGAUUCAGAGGCUAAGGCAGAUAUAAAAGCAAAAUAAUUCGCGAAAGUAAUUUCUGGAACGCAAGGAAGUGCGAAAUGUAAAGCCGAUCUAUCUGGCCAGCAUUGUCUAAAUGCAUAUCGGGCGUAGCGUAUGCCAUUUAAUUAAAAAUUCUUAAAACGUU
rnacentral:sRNA from 1 species